GUAGACAUAGUUUAAGCUAAGACAUUAGAUUGUGAUUCUAAAGACAGGGGUUAAAAUCCCCUUGUCCACC
rnacentral:tRNA from 1 species